rnacentral:rRNA from 1 species
AACGCGAAGAACCUUACCUGGGCUUGACAUGUUCCUGACAACUGUGGAAACACAGUCUCCCUUCGGGGCAGGAUCACAGGUGGUGCAUGGCUGUCGUCAGCUCGUGUCGUGAGAUGUUGGGUUAAGUCCCGCAACGAGCGCAACCCCCGUCGCAUGUUGCCAGCAUUUAGUUGGGGACUCAUGCGAGACUGCCGGUGACAAACCGGAGGAAGGUGGGGAUGACGUCAAGUCAUCAUGCCCCUUAUGUUCAGGGCUACACACGUGCUACAUUGGCGCGUACAGAGGGUUGCGAUACCGCGAGGUGGAGCGAAUCCCUUAAAGCGCGUCUCGGUUCGGAUUGCAGGCUGAAACUCGCCUGCAUGAAGCCGGAGUUGCUAGUAAUCGCGGAUCAGCACUGCCGCGGUGAAUACGUUCCCGGGCCUUGUA